GGACUACCCGGGUUUCUAAUCCUGUUUGCUCCCCGCGCUUUCGUGCCUGAGCGUCAGGUCUCGGCCAGGACGCUGCCUGCGCCGUCGGUGUUCUUCCGGAUCUCUACGCAUUUCACCGCUCCACCCGGAAUUCCACGUCCCUCUCCGAGCCUCAAGCCCCCCAGUCGUGACGGCCCUCUCCCAGUUGAGCCAGGAGCUUUCACCGCCACCUUAGAGGGCCGCCUGCGCACCCUUUACGCCCAGUAACUCCGGACAACGCUCGUCUCCUACGUCUUACCGCGGCGGCUGGCAC
rnacentral:rRNA from 1 species